ensembl:lncRNA
GGUGGCAUAUUGUGACCAGACCCCGGGAGCAGUCCAUGUAGAGAGAGAGAGAGAGACAGACCUCAUCUUUCAUGCUUGUGCGUGAAAUACAUUACAGAACAUACACUUGCUCUAAUAAAAAAUCAGUGAAAUGGGGGGGGGGAAGAAAGCUUGCCAACCCCUACAGCUAGUAUUAUAUUUAAUGAUGAAACUAGAUUGUUUCCCCUGAAAAUCAGAAACAAGGAAAGGAAUUCUCCUCUCACCACCCUAUUCAGCAUCAUACUAGAAGUCCUAGCUAAGACGAUAAGAUAAGAAUUAAAAAAUUAAACAGAUAAGGAAGGAAGAAAUAAAACUGUCUUUGUUUGCAAAUGUGAUGAUUGUCCAUGUUGAAAAUCCCAAAGAACUGACCAAAAAACAAAAAACAAAAACAAAAAAAGUCUUGAAAUGAACAAGCAAUUAUAGCAAGACUGCAGGAUACAAGGUUAAUACAAAAAAAUUUAAUUGCUUUCCUAUAUACCCACAAGGAAAAAAAUGGAUUAUAAAAUUAAAAAUACAUCAUCUAUGUCAGCACCAAAAAAUUGAAAUACUUAGGUUCUAAUCUAAUAAAUAAAAUCAAUACAGAAUCUAUUUAGGGAAAACAAGUCUGAUUAAAAAAAUCAAAUAUCUAAAUAAAUGGAAAUGUAUUCCAUGUUCACGGAUAGGAAGACCCAAUAUUGUUAAGAUGUCAAUUAUUUCCAACUGAUCUAUAGAUUGAAUGUAAUCUUGAUCAAAAUCCUGACAAGUUAUUUUGCAAAUAUCAAAAAAAGAUUUAAAGUUUAUAUGGAAAGGCAAAAGACAAGAUAAUCAACACGAUACUGAAAAAGAAGCACAAAGUCAAAAGGCUGAUAUUACCUGACUUUAACACUGCUAAUAAAGGUACAGUAAUCAAGACAACAUGAUAUUGGAGGAAGAAUAGACAAAUAAAUCAGUGGAACAUAAAAAAGUCCAAAACAGACCCACGCAAGACAGACCACCUAUCUUUGACAAAGGAGCAAAGGAGAUUCAAUGAGGAAAUAGUAGAUUUUUAGGCAAAGCAUGGUGGCUCACACCUGUAAUCCCAGCACUUUGGGAGGCUGAGAUAGGAGGGUGGCUUGAGCCCAGGAGUCUGAGACCAGCCUGGGCAAUAUAGUAAGACUGUGUAUCUACAGUUUUUUAAUUAGCCAGGCAUGGUAGUACACACCUGUAGUCCCAGCUACUCAGGAGCUGAUGUGAGAGAAUCACUUUAGCCUGGGAGGCAGAGGCUGCAGUGAGCUGACACCACACCACUGCACCCAGCCUGGGCAACAGUCUAAGAAUCUGUCUCAAAAAAAAAAAAAAAAAGAUACCAUAGAUUUUUAAAUAAAUGGUACUAAAACAUCGGACAUCCUUAGGAAAAGAUUAAUCUAGAUACAGACCUUCCUUCUACUUUUCACAAAAUAUUACCUCAAAAAGGAUCAUAGACCUGAAUGUAAAACUAUAAAACGUCUAGAAGAUAAUGUAGAAGAAAAUCUAGGUGACCUUGAGUUUGGAGAUGAGUUUUCAGAUUAAAAAGAAAAAAAGAGCAAUACAUGAAAGAAAAAUAUUGGCAACUUAGAUUUUAUUAAAAUUUAAAACUUCUGCUCUGCAAAAGAUACUUUUAAGAGAAUGAAAAAACGAGCCAAAGACUGGAAGAAUAUAUUCACAAAGCACAUGUCUGAUAAAGGCCUUGUAGCCAAAAGGGAAAAAAAAAAAAAAA